rnacentral:rRNA from 1 species
CCCUUAGAUGUUCUGGGCUGCACGCGCGCUACACUGAUGCACUCAACGAGUUUUCGACCUUGCCCGAUAGGGCUGGGUAAUCUUUUUAAAAUGCAUCGUGAUGGGGAUAGAUUAUUGCAAUUAUUAAUCUUCAACGAGGAAUUCCUAGUAAACGCAAGUCAUCAGCUUGCAUUGAUUACGUCCCUGCCCUUUGUACACACCGCCCGUCGCACCUACCGAUUGAAUGACUCGGUGAAAAAUCGGGACUGUGGUCUAGCUUGCUUAAUUGCAAACUUGACUGUGGGAACUUUCUUUAACCUAUUCAUUUAGAGGAAGGUGAAGUCGUAACA